rnacentral:rRNA from 1 species
UACGGGGGGGCAAGCGUUGUUCGGAAUUACUGGGCGUAAAGGGCUCGUAGGUGGCCAACUCAGUCAGACGUGAAAUCCCUCGGCUUAACCGGGGAACUGCGUCUGAUACUGGAUGGCUAGAGAUUGGGAGAGGGAUGCGGAAUUCCAGGUGUAGCGGUGAAAUGCGUAGAUAUCUGGAGGAACACCGGUGGCGAAGGCGGCAUCCUGGACCAACACUGACGCUGAGGAGCGAAAGCCAGGGGAGCAAACGGG